rnacentral:rRNA from 1 species
CCCCUAGAUGUCCUGGGCCGCACGCGCAAUACAAUGUAAAGUUCAGAAAGCAUAUCCUGUUCCGGAAGGCGAUGGGUAAUCUUUUCAAUAUUUUACGUGUUAGGGAUCGAUCUUUGCAAUUAUAGAUCUUGAACGAGGAAUACCUAGUAAGUGCAGCUCAUCAGGCUGUACUGAUUACGUCCCUGCCCUUUGUACACACCGCCCGUCGCUCCUACCGAUUUCGAGUGGUCCGGUGAAUCUUUUGGAAUUAGAGUGCAAACUCAAACUAAGAUCGAUAAACCUUACCACUUAGAGGAAGGAGAAGUCGUAACA